rnacentral:tRNA from 1 species
GGACUUAAUCCAAGAAGGAAUAUCUGACCGAUAAUCAAAUAGCAGAGGUUUAAUUCCUCUUAAGUCCU